rnacentral:rRNA from 1 species
UCCAGAGAUGGAUUGGUGCCUUCGGGAACUGUGAGACAGGUGCUGCAUGGCUGUCGUCAGCUCGUGUUGUGAAAUGUUGGGUUAAGUCCCGCAACGAGCGCAACCCUUAUCCUUUGUUGCCAGCGGUCAGGCCGGGAACUCAAAGGAGACUGCCAGUGAUAAACUGGAGGAAGGUGGGGAUGACGUCAAGUCAUCAUGGCCCUUACGACCAGGGCUACACACGUGCUACAAUGGCAUAUACAAAGAGAAGCGACCUCGCGAGAGCAAGC